AUGCGUAGGCGUUCUCUUAAGUUACUUGUAAAAUCUAACGGCUUAACUGUUAGCUCGCAAGUGAUACUGGGAGAAUUGAGGAUACUAGAGGAGAGGGGAACACCUGGUGGAGCGGUGAAAUGCGUUGAUAUCAGGUGGAACACCAACGGCGAAGGCGCCUCUCUGGGGUAUUCCUGACGCUAAGGCUCGAAAGCUAGGGUAGCAAAAC
rnacentral:rRNA from 1 species